UGUUUGCGACGAUGUCCGUUGAGGUGGUUGAACUUGUUUUAAGUGUUUCAGAGAGUGUGGCUUUGGCGGUUGAACUCUGUGAAGAUUUAAAUAAUCAUGUAUAGGAAGCGUAGAGAGUUUGACUUUCCCAGCUGCGAGGACGGUACUAAAUAUGAAGUACUGGAGAAAAUAGGAGAAGGCAGUUAUGGAUCUUGAUGGAUCCUGUGGUUGUUUAUGUGCCAAGAUGUGUUCAGAAUGGAUCGGUGUGUCUUGGAUUGGAAGCGCUGGAGGAUUUUGCUGUUGGAAUCGGUGGCUGCCCUCCAUAGCUGAAUUGCACAGAUCCAUAUGGGUUUGAGUACUGUUUUAUAUAGGAGGAGUUUGCUUUAGAAAGCCUAUUUUUGGCUAUACUUGUUUGUGCCUUUAAUUAGUAGAACAUAGUUCUUUCUAAUCUCAUCUGUAGAAAUGCUUGGACACUUUCCAUGACAGUGCUUUUAAUUGUUAGGCCUGAUGAAGUGUCAGAAUUCUGUAAUGGUUUUUUUGAGUGUUCAGUUUGCAUUAUGAGACUAAUCUUCAGAGGUCUUCUGUCUUACAAGUAAUGGAAAGUGUUGUUAGAUAAUCCACUUAGAAAAGGGUGGGGGUGAGUGGAGAAAGUAAAUAAAAGAGGAGCUCUUCUUUUGGUCGCAGUGGUUCCUCUGGCAUAUAGAGAACAGGUGCAUAUCACGAGCUUUUAGAGUUAAUAGGGACAUUUAUGAAUGAUUUGUGUAUGGUAUUCUGCUGUUGCUGUGUCGUGAUGGUCUAAGGCACGCAAACUGUAUCCCUGCCCCUAAAGAAAGAAAGAAAAAAAAAGGAGAGCAAAAUGUUGGCUUUAUUUCAGCAUAAACAUUUUCGUGGCAUUCUAAGGUAUGUAUAUUGAUAUCAUAAUGAAGCAUAAUUUAUAUUCCUAGAUUUAAUGGCUCAGCUGUUGCUGUUGUCCACUUAAAGAAGAAGUGGUAAUUCUUGUUUUCCUGCAUUACUGUUUGGAAAAUUAUGAAUAAAUAUAACAGUUUACAUAUGCCAUCUUUCCAGUAAGUUACUAACUAUAUAAUUUCUCUUUUCAGUGAGGUGUACAAAGCCAGGGACAAGAAGGCAGGCAAUAAAUUUGUGGCUAUGAAGAAAGUUCUAAUGCGGUCUGGAUACAAAAGAAGCAGAUAUUACUGAGGAGAGAAAAUGGAGAAAUGAUAAAAACAAGAGUGCUUGUAAAACCGGAAGGGAAAAGGAAGAAAAGUAGAUCAGGCAUGAGGAAUGAGAUGUUGUGGAGAAGGAUUUGAGGAACUUGGGUGUAGUUAACUGGAAAACCAGGAUUCACGCAGGGGAUGGCUGGAGAAAGUUUGUAGAGCAGUCGAAGACGAAGACCCACAAAGGGCUCUAGUGAAUAGUAAUAAUAAUUCAGUAUUUUUAAUACUUUGUUUUAAUAUUUUAAGACUCUUAAUAAGGUUUAGACAUUUGUUUUGGAUUUUGGAAUACAUCUAUAUAAUCUGUGUGUAUGAAGGUGAAUUGAAAAGUGACAGAAGCACAUCACAUUUUUCCAUUUUAUUUUGUAAAGACUCAGUUGUACACAGUAGAGUGUGAGUGAGUUAUUUGGUGAAUUGUUGUGUCUGGCAGGAAUUGGUACAGAAAUUUAUAUAUAUACAGUCAACUCUCGAUUA